UAUUAUGUACAUGCCUAUAGUGUUAAUGCAUUAGAUCCCAUCAAAACUCCACAAUUAAGUGCGCUUGGGAUAGAGUAGUCCUAGGAUGGGUGACCUCCUUGGAAGUUCUUGUGUUUUAC
rfam:Picea glauca, whole genome shotgun sequence.